AAUCAUUUAGCACUGUUUAUUUCGACGAUAUUAAUAAUAAAAACUCUGGCAUUUGGUCUCGUCUUGUGGAUGGAGACUAUUUGUACAAACAUUAAAAAAUAUUAUAAAAAACAUUAUUCCGAAGCAAAAUCAAACAUUGUAACUAAACAAUGGAGUGCAAUUAUACAAUAUUGGUCAAAUUCUGCAAUUUUUACGAUUUAAUCACGAUUGGUUUGAUCAAAAUAUUCUUAAUACUCUGUGAACAGGUAUACAAAGAAUUUUGACAAUUUGCACAAAAAUAGAGAGCGUUUCACUGAUUGAUAUAUCUAUCUACCGUAUAACGCUAUCAAACAGAUAAAAGAUUUUAUGAUAUAGUUUUUUUUUACCAUUAAGCUUCUAUUUAUCUGUCAGAUAGGUAUACUUAUUCAAACCUGUAAGCACAUUUUGUAGUUUAUAAUUUGAGGUGAUAUACCAUCAGUAACUUAUUUUAUAGAUAAACUUUACCAGCGAUCAGUGAAACAGGCUCUUACAAGGUUUUAAUCUCUAGUGAAUCAAAAUCAGAGACAUUAUAAAGAAACUGAUGGCUAAAACAAAGAUGUCAAAUACAAUAUCAUACACUAACUUUAAAAUACCAAUCUCGAUAGUCUUAUCGAAAUAUAAGUGUUGAUAGCGACCGUGAAAACUAAAAAAAACAUUACUUUUAAAGUGGAUUUUUUAAGUUGUUACAAAACAGUAAACAAACCGUGAUCACUCAUAAAACAUUAAUAAUUUCAAUAACUAAGUUCACAUAACAAAACAAAGCUAAGGAACGCUUCAUUUUUAUUAAUAUUCGUUUUUAUAUAUCAAACAUUGUUUACACUCCUACAAACUUUCGUAUUGUACACUUUCUACACACAAGCCUUUUCGAUAACGAAUUUGAUAUUUUUAAUCUUUUAUAAUUUAAAAUAUACACGUUACAAGCGUGAGACACUACACCAACCCACACACUACAGACCACUUCCAAGCCACACACAACACCAGUCCACAGCAGCAGUCAACGUUCAGCUGUGAACUGUCUCGUGACUACACGACUGCUGUGGACUGUGUUGUGUGUAGCUGAGGAGUGGUCUGUAGUGUGUGUGGGUUGGUUUACUAUGUCUAGCUUGUACACGCUCUGUAUAUGUCUCGUUAAACCAACUCACACACACUACAGACCACUCCUCAGCUGCACACACAACAUAGUCCACAGCAGUCGUGUGCUCACGAGACAGUUCACAAAUGAAUGCUAACUGCAGCUGUGGACUGGUGUUGUGUGUGUAGCUGAGAAGUGGUCUGUAGUGAGGUGGGUUGAUUUAAUGUCUUUCUUAUAUCCAUCUUUUUAUAUUAAUAAUUAUGUUGUAAAUAUAUAGUUUAGAAAUACUUAUCGUAAAUUUUACUAAUACAGAAUUAGC
rnacentral:misc_RNA from 1 species